GCCUCCGUAGCUUAAAAAAAGCACUGGUCUUGUAAACCAAAGAUGGGUACCAAAAUACCCCAGAGGCA
rnacentral:tRNA from 1 species